UACGUAGGGUGCAAGCGUUGUCCGGAAUUAUUGGGCGUAAAGAGCUCGUAGGCGGUUCGUUGCGUCGGCUGUGAAAACCUGCGGCUUAACUGUGGGCUUGCAGUCGAUACGGGCAGACUUGAGUUCGGCAGGGGAGACUGGAAUUCCUGGUGUAGCGGUGAAAUGCGCAGAUAUCAGGAGGAACACCGAUGGCGAAGGCAGGUCUCGUGGGCAUUAACUGACGCUGAGGAGCGAAAGCAUGGGGAGCGAACAGG
rnacentral:rRNA from 1 species